rnacentral:rRNA from 1 species
GACGUAGGGCGCGAGCGUUGUCCGGAUUUAUUGGGCGUAAAGAGCUCGUAGGCGGCUCAUUGCGUCAACCGUGAAAACCUGCCGCUCAACGGUAGGCUUGCGGUUGAUACGGGUGGGCUGGAGUUCGGUAGGGGAGACUGGAAUUCCUGGUGUAGCGGUGAAAUGCGCAGAUAUCAGGAAGAACACCAAUGGCGAAAGCAGCUCUCUGGGACGGUACUGACGCUGAGACGCGAAAGCGUGGGGAGCGAACAGG